rnacentral:rRNA from 1 species
GAUGAGCNUGCGUUCCCAUUAGCUAGUUGGUAAGGUAACGGCUUACCAAGGCUACGAUGGGUAGGGGUCCUGANNNGGAGAUCCCCCCACACUGGUACUGAGACACGGACCAGACUCCUACGGGAGGCAGCAGUGAGGAAUAUUGGACAAUGGGCGCAAGCCUGAUCCAGCCAUGCCGCGUGCAGGAUGACGGUCCUAUGGAUUGUAAACUGCUUUUAUACGAGAAGAAACACUCCUUCGUGAAGGAGCUUGACGGUAUCGUAAGAAUAAGGAUCGGCUAACUCCGUGCCAGCAGCCGCGGUAAUACGGAGGAUCCAAGCGUUAUCCGGAAUCAUUGGGUUUAAAGGGUCCGUAGGCGGUUUAAUAAGUCAGUGGUGAAAGCCCAUCGCUCAACGGUGGAACGGCCAUUGAUACUGUUAGACUUGAAUUAUUAGGAAGUAACUAGAAUAUGUAGUGUAGCGGUGAAAUGCUUAGAGAUUACAUGGAAUACCAAUUGCGAAGGCAGGUUACUACUAAUUGAUUGACGCUGAUGGACGAAAGCGUGGGUAGCGAACAGGAUUAGAUACCCUGGUAGUCCACGCCGUAAACGAUGGAUACUAGCUGUUGGAAGCAAUUUCAGUGGCUAAGCGAAAGUGAUAAGUAUCCCACCUGGGGAGUACGUUCGCAAGAAUGAAACUCAAAGGAAUUGACGGGGGCCCGCACAAGCGGUGGAGCAUGUGGUUUAAUUCGAUGAUACGCGAGGAACCUUACCAAGGCUUAAAUGUAGAUUGACCGGUUUGGAAACAGAUCUUUCGCAAGACAAUUUACAAGGUGCUGCAUGGUUGUCGUCAGCUCGUGCCGUGAGGUGUCAGGUUAAGUCCUAUAACGAGCGCAACCCCUGUUGUUAGUUGCCAGCGAGUCAUGUCGGGAACUCUAACAAGACUGCCAGUGCAAACUGUGAGGAAGGUGGGGAUGACGUCAAAUCAUCACGGCCCUUACGCCUUGGGCUACACACGUGCUACAAUGGCCGGUACAGAGAGCAGCCACUGGGCGACCAGGAGCGAAUCUAUAAAACCGGUCACAGUUCGGAUCGGAGUCUGCAACUCGACUCCGUGAA